rnacentral:lncRNA from 1 species
UGAAAUUACUUUAAGGUUUGCAUAAAGAGGCUGGGAUGAUUCUUGAAUGAGAUUUUCGCUGAUUUGUGAAGCAAGAAUCAACUAUUUUUGAUGGUAACCAAUCUUGGAUGGUCGGCUUCGGGGACAAUCAAUUGUAACUAUUUUAGUUUAGUGGUAGAUUAAAUGAUAAAUUUGAGCCUCUUUCUCCUCUCUUCUUUGCAUUUUCAAAUGUUUGGUGGUUAUGUAUGUUGGUUUCUUAUAUGUUUCUUUAAUUUCUUUAGCAUGCUUAAUUUUUUGUUUAGAUCUAACAUUUUGUGAUUCUAGUAGAAGAGUGAAUUAUAUAAUUUUUUUUAUCAAAGCUAAUCAUUUUCUUUUUAGAUUGUUCUUCUGAUAUAAUUUUAAAUUAUAUAAUAUAGAUGGAUAAA